GGGGAAUAUUGCGCAAUGGGGGGAACCCUGACGCACCCAUGCCGCGUGAAUGAAGAAGGCCUUAGGGUUGUAAAGUUCUUUCGGUAUUGAGGAAGGUUGAUGUGUUAAUAGCACAUCAAAUUGACGUUAAAUACAGAAGAAGCACCGGCUAACUCCGUGCCAGCAGCCGCGGUAAUACGGAGGGUGCGAGCGUUAAUCGGAAUAACUGGGCGUAAAGGGCACGCAGGCGGUUAUUUAAGUGAGGUGUGAAAGCCCCGGGCUUAACCUGGGAAUUGCAUUUCAGACUGGGUAACUAGAGUACUUUAGGGAGGGGUAGAAUUCCACGUGUAGCGGUGAAAUGCGUAGAGAUGUGGAGGAAUACCGAAGGCGAAGGCAGCCCCUUGGGAAUGUACUGACGCUCAUGUGCGAAAGCGUGGGGAGCAGACAGGAUUAGAUACCCUGGUAGUCCACGCUGUAAACGCUGUCGAUUUGGGGGUUGGGGUUUAACUCUGGCGCCCGUAGCUAACGUGAUAAAUCGACCGCCUGGGGAGUACGGCCGCAAGGUUA
rnacentral:rRNA from 1 species